rnacentral:rRNA from 1 species
GCGUGUGAGCAUGAGCAUAGGCACGGCGUGGGCGUAGGUUUCAAAGGUUUGGGGGGUCUCUCCUCUUUUCGCACAGCUUUCCCCUUGGGUUCAGGGCGUGCGGCGUGCGGCUUAAGCAGCGGCCUUAGCAGCAAGGUCGUCGGGUCGGGCGGCUGUCUCCCCCGCAUCCCUCAUCCGCUGCUCCCUAGCAGCCUCUACCACGCCCACGCACCCGUCCGCUUGCACCGCCGCCGCCUCUUGGCCCCGGCGAAGGAGGCGGAGCGGCUCGGCCCGUAGUUGAAGAAGUUGGCGGCGCGGCCGCUCGAGCAGCGGCCCUGGGAGAGGUGGGCGCAGGUCAGCGAGCUCUAGUUCUGGUUCCUAUUACAGAAACAAGUCGACUAGACAUGUUAAGUUAUGGCCCAACAAUUCCUCUUACGUCUACUACGUAAGAUGUUCAACGUCUUAGGGGGUUGUCGUUUAAGUCAGGAUGCAGAAACUAC